rnacentral:sRNA from 1 species
GGAAUACCCAGGCUUAUGGUCCCCUUGCUUCAGAGCACCAAGUUUUCAGUGAUGAAAAACUGUAUAGUGAAAGCCUCCAGUGAAUAGUCUCAGAGAUUAUCAUGGACGAGCUGGGCAAAAAAGGACUGUAGAAACCAGAAGACCUAGAUGGCUACUGUGAGAUCGUGUCUUUUCUAUAUGACAUGAAGUUGCAUCCAUGAUAUUUUGAACAAUGUACUCACCCGAAAAAGAAUUGCACAAUGACAUCAGUUGGCGUCCAAAUGUGGGUGGGGAGACUUACAAGGCCUUACCUUUAGUUGAAGAACUACAGGGUAUAAUGGCGCCCUAAAGUGGGAGAAUAAAUCUUCAGGAAUGAGA